rnacentral:lncRNA from 1 species
UAGUUACAUACAUGCAGAGCGCCAUUUGUCUCAAUCUGGUGAACAGGCCGUUGGAAGCGAUUAUUUUGAUUGGUAUAUAUAUAUAUAUGAGGUCUUAGCGUUAGGAUGGAUGUGUGUUCAAGUGUGUACAAGUUUAUCAACUUGCCCAAAGUAUCCGUGUAUAUAGAAAGUGUAAAUUGAGAAAAAAUGUAUGUUUAAUAUUGCACCAUGUUUUUAUUUAAAGCAAUUUAAUCAGUCCUUUCUUUUCAGAAAUUUAUCUUCAUCGCCAUUUACUUUCCAG